rnacentral:rRNA from 1 species
UCAGGAUGAACGCUGGCGGCGUGCCUAAUACAUGCAAGUCGAACGAACUUCCGUUAAUUGAUUAUGACGUACUUGUACUGAUUGAGAUUUUAACACGAAGUGAGUGGCGAACGGGUGAGUAACACGUGGGUAACCUGCCCAGAAGUAGGGGAUAACACCUGGAAACAGAUGCUAAUACCGUAUAACAGAGAAAACCGCAUGGUUUUCUUUUAAAAGAUGGCUCUGCUAUCACUUCUGGAUGGACCCGCGGCGUAUUAGCUAGUUGGUGAGGUAAAGGCUCACCAAGGCAGUGAUACGUAGCCGACCUGAGAGGGUAAUCGGCCACAUUGGGACUGAGACACGGCCCAGACUCCUACGGGAGGCAGCAGUAGGGAAUCUUCCACAAUGGACGCAAGUCUGAUGGAGCAACGCCGCGUGAGUGAAGAAGGGUUUCGGCUCGUAAAGCUCUGUUGUUAAAGAAGAACGUGGGUAAGAGUAACUGUUUACCCAGUGACGGUAUUUAACCAGAAAGCCACGGCUAACUACGUGCCAGCAGCCGCGGUAAUACGUAGGUGGCAAGCGUUAUCCGGAUUUAUUGGGCGUAAAGCGAGCGCAGGCGGUCUUUUAAGUCUAAUGUGAAAGCCUUCGGCUCAACCGAAGAAGUGCAUUGGAAACUGGGAGACUGA